GCGGGGCUGCUCUGGGACAGAGCCGCUCCCCAUCCUGCUGCGCGGCAAAAGAGCCUCAUGGGGUGGAGCAGGGACAAGGACACAGUGGGGAAGGACGUUCUGGGAGGGAUCCUGUGUCCCCUCUUCUAUGGGGUGCUGCCUCUUGCACCAGGGCUGCUCUGAAAAGCUGCGGGAAGGGCAGUGCUAAGCUUUGAUCCCAGUGCGGUUUUCAUUCCCCUCAGAUGUUAUUCUUGGAGUUCAUAAUUGGUAGCUCUUGGGACAAAGUCAUAAAAUCAAUAAAACUAGGAUUGCUUUA